GGCUCAGAUUGAACGCUGGCGGAAUGCUUUACACAUGCAAGUCGAACGGUAGAGGGGGCAACCCUUGAGAGUGGCGAACGGGUGAGUAAUAUAUCGGAACGUGCCCAGUCGUGGGGGAUAACGUAGCGAAAGUUACGCUAAUACCGCAUACGAUCUACGGAUGAAAGCGGGGGACUCGCAAGAGCCUCGCGCGAUUGGAGCGGCCGAUGGCAGAUUAGGUAGUUGGUGGGAUAAAAGCUUACCAAGGCGACGAUCAGUAGCUGGUCUGAGAGGACGAUCAGCCACACUGGGACUGAGACACGGCCCAGACUCCUACGGGAGGCAGCAGUGGGGAAUUUUGGACAAUGGGGGCAACCCUGAUCCAGCAAUGCCGCGUGAGUGAAGAAGGCCUUCGGGUUGUAAAGCUCUUUUGUCAGGGAAGAAACAGCAGCUCUAACACAGUCUGCGAAUGACGGUACCUGAAGAAUAAGCACCGGCUAACUACGUG
rnacentral:rRNA from 1 species